GAAAUGCGAUAAGUAGUGUGAAUUGCAGAAUUCAGUGAAUCAUCGAAUCUUUGAACGCACAUUGCGCCCCUUGGUAUUCCAUGGGGCAUGCCUGUUCGAGCGUCAUUUGUACCCUCAAGCUCUGCUUGGUGUUGGGUGUUUGUCCCGUCUCCGCGCGUGGACUCGCCCCAAAGUGAUUGGCAGCCCGCGUACUGGUCCCGGAGCGCAGCACAUGUCGCGCAAACGAGUGCCUUGGUACGGCGGCGUCCAUAAGCCCCUCUCUCACGCUCUUGACCUCGGAUCAGGUAGGGAUACCCGCUGAACUUAAGC
rnacentral:misc_RNA from 1 species